GAUGAAGAACGUAGCGAAAUGCGAUACUUGGUGUGAAUUGCAGAAUCCCGUGAACCAUCGAGUCUUUGAACGCAAGUUGCGCCCGAAGCCAUUAGGCCGAGGGCACGCCUGCCUGGGCGUCACACGUCGUUGCCCCCCCCAUCUACUCCUUCGGGAUUGCGGGGGGCGGAUGAUGGCCUCCCGUGCGCCUCGCCGCGCGGUUGGCAUAAAUGCCAAGUCCUCGGCGACGCACGCCACGACAAUCGGUGGUUGCGAAACCUCGGUUGCCCGUCGUGUGCGGUCGUCGCACAUCGAGGGCUCGAAAAAAUUGCCGGGCUCCGGCUCGGCUUUCAACGCGACCCCAGGUCAGGCGGGGUUACCCGCUGAAUUUAAGCAUAUCAAUAAGCGGAGGA
rnacentral:misc_RNA from 1 species